UACAGAGACUGCAAGCGUUAUUCGGAUUCACUGGGCGUAAAGGGUGCGCAGGCGGUCGGGUGUGUCAGAUGUGAAAUCCCGAGGCUCAACCUCGGAACUGCGUCUGAAACUACUCGACUAGAGUACUGGAGAGGGUAACGGAAUUCACGGUGUAGCAGUGAAAUGCGUAGAUAUCGUGAGGAACACCAGAGGCGAAGGCGGUUACCUGGACAGUUACUGACGCUCAGGCACGAAAACAUGGGGAGCAAAAGGG
rnacentral:rRNA from 1 species